CCCUCAGGUCUGGGACAACUCCGGGAAACUGGAGCUAAUACCGGAUAAGACCACAGAGUCCUCGAGCUCAGUGGAAAAAGAUGGCCUCUUCUUGAAAGCUAUUGCCUGUUGAUGAGCCCGCGUACCAUUAGCUUGUUGGUGAGGUAACGGCUCACCAAGGCGACGAUGGUUAGCUGGUCUGAGAGGAUGAUCAGCCACACUGGAACUGAGACACGGUCCAG
rnacentral:rRNA from 1 species